rnacentral:piRNA from 5 species
CAAGUGUAGUAUCUGUUCUUAUCAG